GUUUAGUGUCCGGCGUGCCCCAAUUCCCUUUGGGGGACCUUUGGAGUCGCGACUGGAGAUGCUCUUACUGUGGCUAUACCUGAGAGCUCCCUCAAACUCCCAAAGGUUGCUGAUCGCUAGCUCCAGCUCUAGGACGAUUCCUAGCUCUCCGCCGCAGGUUGUGGGAAGGUGGGAUCCCUAGUGGUCGAUGUACCUGGGAGGAGGCGCUAUCUUCUCGAACAGUAGUGGACUGACAUGAUGCCACAUGCGCCACUGGACAAUUUUAUUGCAACUUCAUCUUUAAUUGUUGAAGUGGAUAUUUUUUUUAAAACAUCAGAGGCUUUGUUUGAUACAAAUACUGAAGUUGGCAUGCCUAAACUUGUUAUCUGAACAGUCAUGUUCUUCAAUCUAUGGCUAUACUUAUGUUCUGCAGUUUUCUCAAAUUAGCGAGAUACUUGUAAUUUGAAGUUCGAACUGAUCA